rnacentral:rRNA from 1 species
CAGCAGCAGCCGCGGUAAUACGUAGGUGGCAAGCGUUGUCCGGAAUUAUUGGGCGUAAAGGGCUCGCAGGCGGUUUCUUAAGUCUGAUGUGAAAGCCCCCGGCUCAACCGGGGAGGGUCAUUGGAAACUGGGAAACUUGAGUGCAGAAGAGGAGAGUGGAAUUCCACGUGUAGCGGUGAAAUGCGUAGAGAUGUGGAGGAACACCAGUGGCGAAGGCGACUCUCUGGUCUGUAACUGACGCUGAGGAGCGAAAGCGUGGGGGGCGAACAGGAUUAGAUACCCCGGUAGUCCCUGUCUCUUAUAC